rnacentral:rRNA from 1 species
AGAGUUUGAUCCUGGCUCAGAAUCAACGCUGGCGGCGUGCCUAACACAUGCAAGUCGCACGAGAAAGGGACUUCGGUCCUGAGUACAGUGGCGCACGGGUGAGUAACACGUGAAUCAUCUACCUUCGAGUGGGGAAUAACUGAGAGAAAUCUUAGCUAAUACCGCAUAAUACCUACGGGUCAAAGCAGCAAUGCGCUUGAAGAGGAGUUCGCGGCAGAUUAGUUAGUUGGCGGGGUAAUGGCCCACCAAGACGAUGAUCUGUAUCCGGCCUGAGAGGGCGCACGGACACACUGGAACUGAAACACGGUCCAGACUCCUACGGGAGGCAGCAGUGGGGAAUUUUGCGCAAUGGGGGAAACCCUGACGCAGCAACGCCGCGUGGAGGAUGAAAUCCCUUGGGAUGUAAACUCCUUUCGAUAGGGAAGAUAAUGACGGUACCUAUAGAAGAAGCCCCGGCUAACUUCGUGCCAGCAGCCGCGGUAAUACGAGGGGGGCAAGCGUUGUUCGGAAUUAUUGGGCGUAAAGGGUGCGUAGGCGGUUUGACAAGUCUUAUGUGAAAUCUAUGGGCUCAACCCAUAGUCUGCAUGGGAAACUGUCGGGCUUGAGUAUGGGAGAGGUGAGUGGAAUUUCCGGUGUAGCGGUGAAAUGCGUAGAUAUCGGAAGGAACACCUGUGGCGAAAGCGGCUCACUGGACCAUAACUGACGCUGAUGCACGAAAGCUAGGGGAGCAAACANNAUUAGAUACCCUAGUAGUCC